GGCGCAGUCUGAUGAGUAAAGAGAAUUAAAUAGAAUGUAUAGUAUUAUAUGGAGGAUAGGAGGUGUGUUUAGUUUUAAUAUUUCCGAUAUGCAAAGGUCGAGGGAGGAUAUUAACCAGCUAACAUAAAACCAUAGCAGCACAACACGCACCAACACUUACACACCGUACCAAGUAUACAGAACAGUAAUCAGCAUGAGCAUGAACCAGCACUUGCGCCAAGCGACAGUGUUAUAAUGUUAAUACAUCUAUAAGCUAAGUCAAAACUAAAGACUGAGAAAGCGUUUCGCUUCGAUGGCAUCUCCAAAACAUAAUUUUUAAAUAAAGGAUUGUUUUUUUUAGGUACACUUUGUCCCACGUACCAGCGGAAAUGCUCAGUGUCGGAGAUUUAAUUAAGCUGAUGAGUAAAACAUAAAAAAAGUAAGAUAAUGAUUUGGUAAUUAAAUGGAGAAUGAAAUUAGGCAACCAUGUGUAACGUUUGGAUUAAUAUAUAUAUUAUUAUCCUUGUAUCCUAGUGAUGCUAAUGAGGUAAUUUGGGACAUAAGAAAGAUUAAACAAAAACUCAACUACUAUAAUUCUAUUUAAUGCCAAUGGUACGGGUUACGAAUAAG